rnacentral:rRNA from 1 species
UACGAGGGGGGCGAGCGUUGUUCGGAAUUAUUGGGCGUAAAGGGUGCGUAGGCGGUUUGGUAAGUCUCGUGUGAAAUCUCCGGGCUCAACUCGGAGCCUGCACGAGAAACUGCCGGGCUUGAGUGUGGGAGAGGUGAGUGGAAUUCCUGGUGUAGCGGUGAAAUGCGUAGAUAUCAGGAGGAACACCUGUGGCGAAAGCGGCUCACUGGACCAUAACUGACGCUGAUGCACGAAAGCUAGGGGAGCAAACAGG